ACAAACUCAGACACACGUGACCCUCAGCACUUCUUCCGGUGUCUGCUCUCUAUACUGGCUCGCGAACGGAAAAUCGGACUGCGCGCGCACCAAACGCUAGCUAGUCAAGGUCCCCAUGUCUGCCGUUUAUGCAAUAACUAAUCCUGGCCCCCUCCAUUUCUUUCAAUCUGGAGCCCUGCACCCCUCAAACCACCAAUCUUUAUUUACAAUUAAUCUGUAAACGUGCUAUAGAAGCUAU